rnacentral:rRNA from 1 species
GACGAACGCUGGCGGCGUGCUUAACACAUGCAAGUCGAGCGGUAAGGCCCUUUCGGGGGUACACGAGCGGCGAACGGGUGAGUAACACGUGGGUGACCUGCCCUCAGCUCUGGGAUAAGCCUCGGGAAACCGGGUCUAAUACUGGAUAUGACUCCAUGACGCAUGUUGUGGGGUGGAAAGCCUUGUGCGGCUGAGGAUGGGCCCGCGGCCUAUCAGCUUGUUGGUGGGGUGAUGGCCUACCAAGGCGACGACGGGUAGCCGGCCUGAGAGGGCGACCGGCCACACUGGGACUGAGACACGGCCCAGACUCCUACGGGAGGCAGCAGUGGGGAAUCUUGCGCAAUGGGCGAAAGCCUGACGCAGCGACGCCGCGUGAGGGAUGACGG